rnacentral:rRNA from 1 species
UACGGUAGGGGGCUAGCGUUGUCCGGAUUAUUGGGCGUAAAGAGCGUGUAGGCGGCCAGGUAGGUCUGCUGUGAAAACCUCGGAGGCUCAACCUCGAGACGUCGGCGGAAACCAUCGUGGCUAGAGUCCGGGAAGAGGAGAGUGGAAUUCCUGGUGUAGCGGUGAAAUGCGCAGAUAUCAGGAAGAACACCCGUGGCGAAGGCCGGCUCUCUGGGACGGUACUGACGCUGGAGACGCGAAAGCGUAGGGGAGCGAACAGG